rnacentral:rRNA from 1 species
UACCGAGUGGCGGACGGGUGAGUAACGCGUGGGUAACCUGCCUCAUACAGGGGGAUAACGGUUAGAAAUGACUGCUAAUACCGCAUAAGCGCACAGUACCGCAUGGUACGGUGUGAAAAACUCCGGUGGUAUGAGAUGGACCCGCGUCUGAUUAGCUAGUUGGUGAGGUAACGGCCCACCAAGGCGACGAUCAGUAGCCGGCCUGAGAGGGUGAACGGCCACAUUGGGACUGAGACACGGCCCAAACUCCUACGGGAGGCAGCAUG